CGCGGUACGACUGGGCAUAGUCUUUGUAAAUAUGACCAAAGAGAAAGCCAACGGUCCCGUCUAUUUCUGGAGCACCCUGUGUUUUAGACAAUGCUGAGGGUACUUCCCCAGCUGCAGACACCACGCACCUGUCCAGACGCCAGGCCCCGAGACGGCCGGCGGGCUGAGACAAUGGGGACAGAAGGUGACUUCCACAGGAAACAGGGAAGCCAGGCCUGCCCGACGGGUCGGUCGGCUGGCCGCUGGGUACUGGGGCGGGACAGAGGCGAGAACGGUCUGAACCCAUCCAGACCAGGAAUCAAGACAAGUAAAAAUAGGCAGCUAACAGGAACCGGGUGGAAAGGAGGAAGUCAGGCAGUCACCUGCACUCGAGAGGGGCCCAAGGUGACUCAAGGUCAUUUUCUUCUGCCCCUGCGGUUCCUGCUGCCCUUGGGUGCUCUUUCCUCUUUACUCCCUGAUAAGUCUGGCUCACCUUUCAUUGGUUCGGAUACCACCACCUCCAGGAAGCCCUCCCGCACCCACCUCCUCGUUUUCCCCUAUGGGGUUAGAGCGGCCCUGUGCACCCCAACACGCCUCUCACGCCUCAUCACUGACCACGAGGCCCGUGUCCUCCGUGCCUGCCCUUGGGCUUCCCACCUGGGAGCCAGCCUGCACCCUGCACUUGCUCCUGGCUCCAGAGUUCGUUUCAGCCCCUCUCACACAGCACGUCCUAGAAGACAGGGUGCUGCCCAAAUCCGUCCAGUGCGAAGGGCAGAAAGACCCCCGACAAGCUCAUGCCCCACCCUUCACCGGCUACAAGAGGGGGUGAGCCACGCAGACGCCAUGAGGCUGGUCUGAGGGUGAAGGUGGACACUCAGCAAAAGCCAGACGCCCCUGCUCCAUGGUGCCCUGGACACGCCCCUCCUCAGGACCCUCCGCGGUGCUGCACAGCCCGGCCAGGGCGGACAGAGGUGAGGGGCUGGCCAUGGCAAUGACAGCGAAGUCUGCGGACGGCUCGCCCUGUCGGUGCUCAGUGCUCUGUGUACGUGCAUGGACGCUCU
rnacentral:lncRNA from 1 species